rnacentral:rRNA from 1 species
AGAUGGAGAAGGAAUCUUUGGUGGCUGACGCAGGUCCUAGUAGGUACCUUGUGACCUCAAUGCUGGACAGUCUUGCUGAAUUCCGUAACAUACCCUUCUAUACGAAUAAUUUAAAGUAUCCCUGGGAGGAAGAUGAGGAGGAGAUUAAGGCGAAUGAAUACGAUGGAAUUGAUUAUAAUAAAGUAUCGAGCAAACCAUGGCCAUCCAUGCCAUAUAGAUCUAGUAAGAGAAGAGGGGGAAGAGGAAGCAAUUCUGUUGAUCCCCAACAUGGGAAAUGGCCUCACCGCAAGAAAGUGGAUUCGCCGCAACCGCUCUUAACUAGUGAAGAAGUUCUUCGUGUUCGUUUGGACAUGUACAAUUUGAAAGAAUCUCAGAAUUCAGAAGAGUCCCUCUUCAAUUGCCUCACAUCUAAGGAGGAGCUGAAGGUCAACUUCCCUCACACCAUGACAUACUAUUAUCAUUCCAUUCGUGACGGCCUGAAAGCAAAGUCUUACCCGCACUUCUUUCACCAAUUUGUUGGGAAGUUUUCAUCUCCAUGCUGUAACUAUAUUGAACCUACGACUCUGGAAGGUGAUUUGCAAUACAUCGAUUUCUUUGACAAACUAAUGGAGUCAGCGAGGUACAGAGAGACCAAAGACGGGGUGCUAGCCAAGGCUAUUGUCAUUGCAAACAAGUUUUUCCAAAAAAUGCUGUUUUUUCAAAUUAGGAUUGCUGUUGAUGAGUACUUACAGCUCAUGCAUCAUCUCGAGAAGAUGGCGCAGAGGCAUAAGCUGUACUAUUACAUUGUGCAUGAAGAGCUAAUUGAGAAAAAGGAGCGUAAAGCUAUUUUCAAGCACAUCCAAGAAGGAAGAGUUCGUUUAUUCUAUGAUCUUACCGAGUUUGCUGCUCUAGAGUUGGAGGAUUGUGAAUAUACUGUACAAGACACGGUCGAACGUCUUAAAGAACUUACUGGUGGUAAGUCUCCUCCAAAGAAAAGCAUCAAAGAUGGCACUUACAAAAGGCGUAUCUGUAAUGAGAUCGAUAAGCUGUUCCCAAGAGAAAUCGAGCUUUAUACGUCUUUUCUCAAACAGAAAAUGAAGACAGCUGAAGAACACAAUGUUAUACCCAAGGCAAACUUCUAAAGUAGAUAUGAGAGUCAUUUCCUGUUCUUGCUCCAUAUCUUUAUACUAACAGGAAUUUAUGUUUGUGCAAUUUGCAGGGAACUUGUGAACGUUUCCGUAGUUUAUCUAACUUUGAGUCAAGAGAGAAAGAACUAGAGCUAUCUAUGUGUGUCACCUGCUAUUUCUCAGUGAAAGGAUUUGUUUAUGAUACUGCAGAAGGGACCUGAAGAAAAAUAUAGAGGUGAUUAGCCAAGCGCGUGAACUUUGCCAUUUCAUCAAGUUGACGAUUGCUUGAGGCUAGAGCAUUCAAUAUGUUAAGAUUUGGUUGAAGCUGGUGGCAUAGAACAUUUCUAUUUAUGUAGUUUUCUAGUAUUAUUAACAGGUUGUAUGAAACACUGAUUGACUAUAAUAAACGUACUAGUACAAAAUUGGGCAUGAUAGAGCUUUCGGACAGGUCCAUCGUGUGGGAAACAUAUAUUCCUCCGC